UGAUUGGUUCGUCUGUAGCUGUA
rnacentral:siRNA from 1 species